rnacentral:piRNA from 1 species
UCGCAGCUGAAAGAUGUUUUG